ensembl:lncRNA
CGGAGAGGCUGCCUGGGGAGGCUUUGCCUGCUAGCAGGCCCCUUCUCUGCUCAGCAUGGCUUCCUGGUGGCUGCAGGGCCCCAUCCCUCAAAGGCCUGCUCCAUGCUGGUGAGGUCCCGCCUCCCUCAAGGACUGGCCCUUUGUCUGGGCGCCAUGGACCUCUACUCCAGACAGAGCCCCUGCCCAGGUGGUAUCCUGAGCAGCACCUGGGGUCAGACCCCAGCAGGGUGCCGAAGAACGUGCAAGAGUGUGUUUUCUGUGGUCUGAGAGGCCGGCUGGGGAGCGAGGCGCCCAUCCUACUUCUUGGGAAAAACAAGCACGACAUGACUCCCUUUUUUAUUUUCCUCACAAUCUGCAUUUUUUACAAAUGUACUUCACAGUCGGAUGCACCUCUUUGUCCCUUGGGGGCAAACAAAACAGCGGGGACGUUCUUUCCAGGUAACUCAGGGUUUUAAGCCCACAGUGGCUGUUUGCAGCUUGGGUCUUGCUUGACUCCUGUCCCAUCCAGAGGACCUCACGCUGCCAGUGGUCCUGCCACAUUCUUAUUCAGGGAUUUGAGGAAGGCAGGAGGCCCAUGAGGACAAAAGGUGACAGAAGCUUCCAGCUCAGAACGAAUUCUGUGAGGCCAAAGAGCCACUUGACCAAACCCCUUUUCCCUACACCCAUGUGGCUGGGGAACAUUAAGACUAAAGCAGUUUCAAAGUCAAGAUAGUUUGUUCUUGGUCCCUGAUAACCUUGCGACUCAAAGUGUAUGAGGGCCAGCAGCAGCAGCCUCACCUGGGAGCUUGUUAGAAACUUGGAAACUCAGUCCCCUGCCUGGCUCCCCAAACCCACUGAAUCAGGAUUUUAGCAAGACCCCAGAUAGUCCACGUGCAUAUCAGAGCUGGAGAAAUGCUGUCCUGAGGAAUACACACAGUGUCAAGAAGCACGUAUGCUUCCUAAACUGCGGAGCACUGUGCAAGGACCUGAAGAGACAUCUUCCUCAUUUCCAGAACCAACUGGGUUCAGCGCCCUGGCUUGGAGCCCUAGCACCAUUUAGCACCUUUCUCCGGGAGUAGUUUGUCUCUAUCAAUUGAGUUCUCCGAGGGCUGGAUCUCAGUGCCUAGGAUCCACUCAACAAACAUUUGCUGAGUGAACACACUCGGUGCUUCAAGAAAGCCUACUUAUUUUAACGUCAACUAGAAGCAGCAGGGAUGUGUCGAGGGGGGAAGGAUUCCUGAAGUUGCCUGUCCUGGAGGGAAAGGGGCCUUGGCUUGGUGCUCACUCACAUCUUUCCGGCCAUUUCUGACACUUGCUGCCCUCUCCCCACACGAGGACCCCUUCUCCCCACCCAGGAAACUCGUGUCUCUAGAGGGUUGGGAACAAUGAGAAUCGGCCUCCUGUGACGCUCAGUCCUCUGUGCUCCUGCCUGCAGUGGUCUAGCUUUCACUGGUGACACCAGUUCUGGCUGCUGAACACCUGUUAACUCUGAAUGCCUCCCGCGUGGCCCCCGGCCUAUCUCACUUCCUGCCCCUUUCUCUGCAUCUCCUGGCUUUGGGAGCACGGCCAUGACGCGAGCUUCUCCUGACUCUCCCUCCAUCAGUAGACCCCUGCCACUGCCUGUGCAGCAGCUCAUGAAACCACCCUCCCUCUCCUGUGGGCCCCAAACCUGUGUCCAGAUGUCCUUCCCUGGGAGGGGAGCUUGAGGUGUAGAGUGUGGCUCAGGGCUGGGUGGCCCACAUCUGCUCCCUGCUGCUGCUGAACUCAGGCAAGUCACCGCCUCCUACCUUGUGGCCAGGGCAAAGGAGUUAAUACUUCAUUUAAAUGGCACUUGUUACCAAGAAGAAUUAUUUUCUAUUCAGACAGGAAAGCAGAGUCUAGGGAGCUUGCUCAGGCUGAGGCUGAGGCCCUGGUGCCCAGUUACUGCCACAAGGUUGGUACUAAUUCUUGAUCCCUCGACCUCACAGAUGCCUCAAGCCCCUGCUUCCUGGGACCUGAACUCUCACUCCGCAGUCUCUUCCUAAUCCCCCUCAGCAUCUGCGCCGCUUCCUUCAUCAAGGUCUUCUAAGCUGUCAGCGCCCUUGGUGUUUUUCAGUUUAGUGAAGUAAUUUCACAGUGCUAUCAGUCCAUCGGUCCUAGGAAAUCUUCUACAGAAAGGUGCGAGCACGUGGGAAGCAUCGUCUGCCCUCUCACCUACUCAUCAAAGCUCCCCAGGCUUGUCUCUGUUAGCCUGGGAGCCACGUUCACUUAAAUUUAGUAUCUUGUAACUGACCUGCUUCCUUACUCUUGACUUUGCACCAUAUUACACUCCAGCAAUGCAGUGGAAUGAACAUGGGACAUCCUGGGAAGGGGCGAUAUGGCUUUACGAUCCCAGGUGGACCUUGUCCCCAUUCCUACCUGCUCUUGUGCAUCUACCUGCUAAGGUGGCAUGACUGUAGCGUUUACUUCCUGGCACUGUCCUUGGUUGAAGCACUUCCUGGUGGCACAAUGGUUACCAACCUACACUCAACUCCUCAUGAAAGGUCACUUUCCUUUUUCGGAGUAGCUUAUUUGCCCAUGCAGUGCUAAAAGCACGUUUUGGCUCAAAUGAAAUCCUCACUUCCAUCUUAUAGCAAUCAGAAGAAGAAAGUUACCUGUCUCCCACCAGAGAUCUUAGAAGCAGAAGUCUCUCCACCUUGUCUUAUCCAGAGGUUGCAUUCUAUUCCUGUUUUUAACAUGCUAGAUUCCCAAAAACAUAAACACAUGCACUAGAUGAACAACUGGGUCCCUUCAAUCUUGUGAUCGGCUGCUAAGCUAUUUCUAAGGGUCAUUAGCCAACUGGAACCAUCUUUGAACCAGGCAAUUUUACCAGCUUUUAUUAUAAACACCAGCACAUUUCAAGUUUCCUCUUUUUGAUCACAAAUAUAGGACUUUUUUCUUCUCCUCUUAAGUUUACAGCAUGAGACAUAGCAUUGGGGCUUUCCAGCUCUCUUACAGAAUUUCCUUACACCAAGCACAGGGUUAGCAUUCACGGACCACACCCUUGGCUGCAUCCUUUGGCAUCUAGAUUGCAUGGGACGUGGACUCCAGGAGGAUGUGUCGGUACCAAAGUUUUGGAUUCCAGGACGACCUGAAAAGGAUGCCUCCACUGACCACGUUAAAGGGCUGCACAUCCCGUGGGUUGGCCGGGAGUUGCUCCUCCAGGGCCCAGACGGCUCACCCCUUCUUGUCUGAACACAGGCUUAGGGCCUUCCUAUUUGGUGGAAUUGUUUCAGAAGAGUGUCAAGGAUGCGAGAAGCGAGCAGACUGAGCAAGGAUGGCCAGAUGGACACUGGAGGGCUGUGGCCUUGCUUUCCCUUUCUGGAUUGGGUGGACAAAGGGGUUGGUGGUGCCAGACAGUGGUCUCCUUCUUACCUGGCUUAAUCUACAUUAAAACUCAAGACUCGAAGCUCUGUGUUAAAACUAGCAUCUUAGAAAGUUUCCUCAAAUUUAGAUUCCAAAAUCAAGUAUUUUGAAAAUAAUGGAAGCUGCUUGGGCCAUGAUUUGUAAAUUGAACACCACACCCCUGACCUGGGCUGCCGUCUGGUUGGGGGCAUGCAGUGGAGAGGACUAACUCCAGCUCUCCCAGUGGGGGUCCUCCCUUCAGAUGGGAUUUGCACAGUAUUCAGGAACUCAGGUGC